rnacentral:rRNA from 1 species
GUGGGGAAUAUUAGGCAAUGGGCGAAAGCCUGACCUAGCAACGCCGCGUGAAGGAAGAAGGCCUUCGGGUUGUAAACUUCUUUUAUGAGGGACGAAGGACGUGACGGUACCUCAUGAAUAAGCCACGGCUAACUACGUGCCAGCAGCCGCGGUAAUACGUAGGUGGCGAGCGUUGUCCGGAUUUACUGGGUGUAAAGGGCGCGUAGGCGGACUGGCAAGUCAGAUGUGAAAUACAGGGGCGCAACCACUGAACUGCAUUUGAAACUGUUGGUCUUGAGUAUCGGAGAGGCAAGCAGAAUUCCUAGUGUAGCGGUGAAAUGCGUAGAUAUUAGGAGGAACACCAGUGGCGAAGGCGGCUUGCUGGACGACAACUGACGCUGAGGCGCGAAAGCGUGGGGAGCAAACAGGAUUAGAAACCCGGGUAGUCC